rnacentral:rRNA from 1 species
AGUUUGAUCCUGGCUCAGGAUGAACGCUAGCUACAGGCUUAACACAUGCAAGUCGAGGGGAAACGAUGAGAGAGCUUGCUCUCUUAGGCGUCGACCGGCGCACGGGUGAGUAACGCGUAUCCAACCUGCCCAUUACAGGGGAAUAACCUUGCGAAAGUAAGACUAAUGCCCCAUGGUAUUCUCAGCAGACAUCUAAUGAGGAUUAAAGAUUUAUCGGUAAUGGAUGGGGAUGCGUCUGAUUAGCUUGUUGGCGGGGUAACGGCCCACCAAGGCAACGAUCAGUAGGGGUUCUGAGAGGAAGGUCCCCCACAUUGGAACUGAGACACGGUCCAAACUCCUACGGGAGGCAGCAGUGAGGAAUAUUGGUCAAUGGGCGAGAGCCUGAACCAGCCAAGUAGCGUGCAGGAAGACGGCCCUAUGGGUUGUAAACUGCUUUUAUAGGGGAAUAAAGUGAUCUACGUGUAGUUUAUUGUAUGUACCCUAUGAAUAAGGACCGGCUAAUUCCGUG